rnacentral:rRNA from 1 species
UUCUGGAGUUUGGCAGAGGGGGGUGGAAUUCCACGUGUAGCAGUGAAAUGCGUAGAGAUGUGGAGGAACACCAAUGGCGAAGGCAGCCCCCUGGGUCGAUACUGACGCUCAUGCACGAAAGCGUGGGUAGCAAACAGGAUUAGAUACCCUGGUAGUCCACGCCCUAAACGAUGUCAACUAGGUGUUGGGAGGGUAAAACCUUUUAGUGCCGUAGCUAAC